rnacentral:sRNA from 1 species
GUCUUAAAGUAGUCGCGAAGAGUAGGUAGAAAAUGUCGAAAAUAUGAAAAUAAUUGGGAAAAAUGUCAAAAAAUGCGCCAAUUUUCAAAUUUGGGACGAAAAAAGCAUGAACUUUCGAAAUGUCAUUUAAAUCUUAAAGUUUGGGUUGACUUCUUAAAAAAAUGUCUAAGUUUUGUUGACCUGGCCAUUUAAAGCGUGCCGUGAAAUUUCCGUUAACGGAAAAAUAACGGAGUUAAUUUUCCGUUAACAGCUCAAAAUGACGUCGUUUUAAAAAUUAAAAAUAAAUAAAAAACUGACAACAGCCUAGACUAGAACCUUAGAUCACUGGAUCUGUAGUCAAGCAUUAAACCGUUGAGCUACUCACGCUUUUGGUGUUUACUUAAGCUAAUAGAU